UUGGGAAUCUUGGACAAUGGGGGAAACCCUGAUCCAGCCAUGCCGCGUGAGUGAUGAAGGCCUUCGGGUUGUAAAACUCUUUCGACGGGGACGAUAAUGACGGUACCCGUAGAAGAAGCUCCGGCUAACUUCGUGCCAGCAGCCGCGGUAAUACGAAGGGGGCUAGCGUUGUUCGGAAUUACUGGGCGUAAAGCGCGCGCAGGCGGUCUUUCAAGUCAGUGGUGAAAGCCUGGAGCUCAACUCCAGAACUGCCAUUGAAACUGUAAGACUUGAGUACGAGAGAGGUGAGUGGAAUUCCCAGUGUAGAGGUGAAAUUCGUAGAUAUUGGGAAGAACACCGGUGGCGAAGGCGGCUCACUGGCUCGUAACUGACGCUCAGGCGCGACAGCGUGGGGAUCAAACAGGAUUAGAUACCCCCGUAGUCC
rnacentral:rRNA from 1 species